GAACCACCACCAGUUUACAAUCCUCCUCCGGUUUACAAUCCUCCUCCUGUUUACACACCAACACCAAAGCCAGAACCACCAGUAGUCAAGCCUCCUUGUGACCCAAAACCAAAGCCACAGCCACCUGUCUACAAACCUGCUCCCAUUCCGGUUUAUAAGCCAAAGCCAAAGCCGCCAGUCUACAAGCCUGCUCCCGUCCCAGUUUACAAGCCAAAGCCAAAUCCAGAGCCUCCAGUCUACAAGCCUGCUCCCAUUCCGGUUUAUAAGCCAAAGCCAAAGCCACCAGUCUACAAGCCUUCUCCCAUCCCAGUUUACAAACCAAAGCCAAAUCCAGAGCCUCCGGUUUACAAGCCUGCUCCCAUUCCAGUUUAUAAGCCAAAACCAAAACCGCCUGUUUAUAAGCCUGCUCCCGUUCCAGUUUACAAACCAAAGCCAAAGCCACCCGUUUACAAGCCUGCUCCAGUUCCGGUUUACAAGCCAAAGCCAAAGCCGCCAGUCUACAAACCGGCUCCGGUUCCAGUUUACAAGCCAAAACCAGAGCCACCGGUUUACAAGCCAGCUCCGGUUCCGGUUCCAGUUUACAAACCAAAGCCAAAGCCGCCAGUCUACAAACCUUCCCCUGUUCCAGUUUAUAAGCCAAAGCCUGAGCCACCGGUCUACAAACCUGCCCCUGUUCCAGUUUACAAGCCAAAGCCAGAGCCACCGGUUGUCAAGCCUCCUUGUGACCCAAAACCAAAACCAGAGCCACCUGUCUACAAGCCUGCUCCCGUUCCUAUUUACAAACCUAAGCCAGAGCCGCCAGUCUACAAGCCUUCUCCAGUUCCAGUUUACAAAC
rnacentral:lncRNA from 1 species